UUAGAAAAGCGGAUACAAAAAGGUCAUCACGAACGGAAACAGAGUAUUUCAACAAAAAUCCUUACAAUAUUUUCAAUGUAACAUUAUACAUAAUCAUAUUUUGUAUAACACAAUAUAGAAAUUAUCUUUUAUCAAUUUAAUGGAUCAGUAAUUCAUUGAAUUGUUCUUCAACAGAGGGAAGAAAUAACACAAUUUUACAAAAGCGUAACUUGUACUAAUUGCGUGAUUAAUUAUUAAAAAUUAAUUGAAAAUUUUGAAGAAAUUUAAACUAAUAAAUAAUUGUUUUAUCUGUAAAGAUGUUGAAGUUUCGAUUCCGUAAUUAGCACUGGUAAUACAAAAUCUUAUAACCACACAAGGACGAAAUAAUUAAAGUGACCAUAAAUGAAUUCACGAUCAAGACAAUGUAAACAAGUGAGACUGAAAAAAACAAAUAAAUAAUAACUAUUCUUAUUUAUAAUCAGAAGCAAAAUAUCUUGUUUCUCGCGUUUUAACUGAUACCUGAUGCGUAAAUUAAUCACUCUGACACUUCUCUGUUUCAAGUACACUUUUUUAUUUUUAAUUUAUGGUCUUCUUGUUUUUUUCAUUUAUCAAUAUUUGUAUUAGUAUAAUUAUAAUAAUUUUUAUUGUAAUUUAUUGUGUUGUUAAAGAGAUUUUUUAAAAAAUUGAAUUACUAUUAAAAGAUUAGUUAUUAUUGUCAGGAUGACUGACAAUCCGAGGCUAAAAAGAUUUACGCUGUGAAAAAUCAAAAUCAAGGACGUAAAUCUAAAAUGAUACAUAUAAAUUUUACCUUGACCUGCUGAAUUUCAACAGAGAAUUAAAAAAAUUCAUUCCAAAAGGAAAAAAUUACACGGCGUUAAAAGUUGAACUAGAUCUGGUAAUACCGGACAUUUGCAGUUUGACCCGUAAAAGACAGUGCGAGAAGUAGAGAUCAAGUGACUACUGAAUUGUAUAAGCUAAAAAAACUACCUGCGGCCUCCCACUAGCUACAUCCAUUCAUGUUACAUUAUUAAUACAUUUUUUACAUGUUAUUACAAGCUAUAAGUUUGCUCAUACUGAUAAAUAUGGAUUCGUCAGAAAAAAAAUAUUAAAUACAAUUAAGAAUAAGGAAACUAAACAAAGUUGCUUUUAUUUAUUUUAAAAUAUUGCAAACAAAGAUUGGGUUUCAAAACAAUUACUUUACAUUGAUAGUGGAUGAAAAUAAAGUAAUUAUAAAGAUUUAAUUCAUACUCGUUACUCAGGAUAUUUAUGUGAUCUUAUUUUGAGAUUGUUUUAAGUUAUCAGUAUACUUUCGGUGUAAAAAAUUGCAGUCAGAUCUUGUGACCCUGCGACUGUUCACUUCCGGUUUGUAAUUGUAAAUAAUAAACAUUUUUUAUCAUUUAA